rnacentral:rRNA from 1 species
CCUACGGGAGGCAGCAGUGAGGAAUAUUGGUCAAUGGGCGCGAGCCUGAACCAGCCAAGUAGCGUGAAGGAUGACUGCCCUACGGGUUGUAAACUUCUUUUAUAAAGGAAUAAAGUGAGGCACGUGUGCCUUUUUGUAUGUACUUUAUGAAUAAGGAUCGGCUAACUCCGUGCCAGCAGCCGCGGUAAUAAGGAGGAUACGAGCGUUAUCCGGAUUUAUUGGGUUUAAAGGGAGCGUAGAUGGGAUGUUAAGUCAGUUGUUAAAGUUUGCGGCUCAACCGUAAAAUUGCAAUUGAUACUGGCAGCCUUGAGUACAAUUGAAGUAGGCGGAAUUCGUGGUGUAGCGGUGAAAUGCUUAGAUAUCACGAAGAACUCCGAUUGCGAAGGCAGCCUGC